GACGAACGCUGGCGGCGUGCUUAACACAUGCAAGUCGAACGCAAAGGCCCUGCUUUUGUGGGGUGCUCGAGUGGCGAACGGGUGAGUAACACGUGAGUAACCUGCCCUUGACUUUGGGAUAACUUCAGGAAACUGGGGCUAAUACCGGAUAGGAGCUCCUGCUGCAUGGUGGGGGUUGGAAAGUUUCGGCGGUUGGGGAUGGACUCGCGGCUUAUCAGCUUGUUGGUGGGGUAGUGGCUUACCAAGGCUUUGACGGGUAGCCGGCCUGAGAGGGUGACCGGCCACAUUGGGACUGAGAUACGGCCCAGACUCCUACGGGAGGCAGCAGUGGGGAAUAUUGCACAGUGGGCGGAAGCCUGAUGCAGCAACGCCGCGUGCGGGAUGACGGCCUUCGGGUUGUAAACCGCUUUCGCCUGUGACGAAGCGUGAGUGACGGUAAUGGGUAAAGAAGCACCGGCUAACUACGUG
rnacentral:rRNA from 1 species